UACGAAGGGGGCUAGCGUUGCUCGGAAUCACUGGGCGUAAAGCGCACGUAGGCGGAUCUUUAAGUCAGGGGUGAAAUCCCAAGGCUCAACCUUGGAACUGCCUUUGAUACUGGGGAUCUCGAGUCCGGAAGAGGUUGGUGGAACUGCGAGUGUAGAGGUGAAAUUCGUAGAUAUUCGCAAGAACACCAGUCGGCGAAGGCGGCCAGCGU
rnacentral:rRNA from 1 species